rnacentral:misc_RNA from 1 species
GAAAUGCGAUAAGUAGUGUGAAUUGCAGAAUUCAGUGAAUCAUCGAAUCUUUGAACGCACAUUGCGCCCUGUGGUAUUCCGCAGGGCAUGCCUGUUCGAGCGUCAUUGAACCUCCUCAAGCUUUGCUUGGUGUUGGGCGGUUGUCCUGCUUAGCCCCUGGCAUGGACUCGCCUUAAAAACAUUGGCAGCCGUUUUCCUGGCUUUUAAGUGCAGCACAUUUGCGCCUAGUGCCUUGGUAACGGCUCUCCAAGAAGUCUACUCUUUUAGUUGACCUCGGAUCAGGUAGGGAUACCCGCUGAACUUAA